rnacentral:rRNA from 1 species
CUGGCGGCAGGCCUAACACAUGCAAGUCGAGCGGUAACAGAGAGUAGCUUGCUACUCUGCUGACGAGCGGCGGACGGGUGAGUAAUGCUUGGGAAUGUACCUUAUGGUGGGGGACAACAGUUGGAAACGACUGCUAAUACCGCAUAAUGUCUUCGGACCAAAGCGGGGGACCUUCGGGCCUCGCGCCAUAAGAUCAGCCCAAGUGGGAUUAGCUAGUUGGUGAGGUAAUGGCUCACCAAGGCAACGAUCCCUAGCUGGUUUGAGAGGAUGAUCAGCCACACUGGGACUGAGACACGGCCCAGACUCCUACGGGAGGCAGCAGUGGGGAAUAUUGCACAAUGGGCGCAAGCCUGAUGCAGCCAUGCCGCGUGUGUGAAGAAGGCCUUCGGGUUGUAAAGCACUUUCAGUAAGGAGGAAAGGUUAAGUGUUAAUAGCACUUAGCUGUGACGUUACUUACAGAAGAAGCACCCGGCUAACUCCGUGCCAGCAGCCCGCGGUAAUACCGGAGGGUGCGAGCGUUAAUCGGAAUUACCUGGGCGUAAAGCGUACCAGGCGGUUUGUUAAGCGAGAUGUGAAAGCCCCGGGCUCAACCUGGGACUGAUUUCGACUGGCAACUAAGUGUGA